CUCUUGGUGUCCCUGGUUGGUUGUUGUCUUUCAUCCUUGAAGAAUCCCCAAAUGCCACCACCAUAUUGGUGCCAAUUUACAGUACAUACAAAUGUGGCUGAUCUGACCACACAAGCUCUGAAGCCUCUACCACAAGUCAGGUACAAAUGGCACAUAUGAGUAUUUGGAGUGAUGUCUAAAGCUGUACAUCUCAUGAUUCUUUUGAGUUCCUGCAAUUCAGCUUUGCUCUUAGAAUGCAGCUCCUUAUUUGAUGUAGCUCCAUCAUGCUGGAUGGGCCUGUGCCAGUGUCUUCUAUGUCUCACAAUCAAUACCCAAGUUUUUCAGAGAGACCUUGAGAAUGUCCUUGUCUCACAUCUGACUUGCGUGUGGGCUUGCCUUAGGUGAGUUCUCUAUAAAAAAUAUUUUAGCCAAACACGCAUUGACAUUCAAACAGCUUAGCCAGCCCAUUCUAAUUGUACUUUGUGCAGUAGAGUCUGAAUUUUGGCAGUUUAAUUCAUUUGAGAAAGGAUCUCAGCAUACCUUAUCUUGCCAAGUGACCUUUAGAAUCUUCCUAAAACCAUUCCAAUAGAAGUGAUUGAGUUUCCUGGCAUGGCUCGAGCAUACUGUCCAUACUCCAUGGGCAUGCACACAACAGUGACAUCAGCGCAACGGCUCCGUUAGACCUUCAGUAUGGUAGGCAGCCUGAUACCUCUUCUCUCCCACACGUUCCUUCAGAGCCUCCCAAACCCUGAGCUAGCCUUGGCAAAGUAUACAUCAACCUCGUCAUGUGUGUGUACAUGCUUGCAAAAUACAUUGCCAAGGGGACUAAAAAUCAAAACUAACAACAGGACAGAGCCAAAGAACCCUCCUGCUAGACUCAACAUAAAAGAUUCUUCUGUCUUCUUGUACUGGAACAUAUGUGCGUGUGUAAGAUUUGUGUCCAAUCAGGUCACCACCCACAAGUAAAUUGUGUAGGAACUGGAGACGGCUCCUACAUUUGGCAUACAACAUGGUUAAAAUCACCUGAGGAGAUGGUGUUGGGGUUCAAGAUUGGAGAUGGAUCAGCAGACCUGGACUUGGCCAGUUGGAUAUCAGAAGUCCAUGGAAGAAAACCAAAGUCUUCAAGCAUUUCCAAAGAAAGCCAGCCCAGAGAGAGGAGAGAGCAGAUGUCUGGCUAG
rnacentral:lncRNA from 1 species